AGAUAUUUUAACAUCAAAGUCAAGAAACUGCUUGUCUCAACCUUCAUUCAGUGUCAUUUUGAUUAUGCUGCUCUGCUUGGUAUAGUGGGCCAUCAAAAAAGCUGAAAAAGAGAAUGCAGGUAUAUGCUAAAUGUUAUCAGGUAUAUGCUAAAUGUCCCCCCUAGGACCCGCAUAGGGGUACAGGAGUUCUGGGAGGUGGGCUUGUUGCCUUUGGAGUCCAGAGUGGACCAACUUAACCUUAAUCAUAUGUUUGACAUCUUAAAUGACCGGGCCCCAGGUUAUAUGAAAAAACACAUUGAUAUGGUCUAUAACCGACACAGUUACAAUACCAGAGUUAAUGUUAUGUCUUGUAAAAUUGUCUAAGAGAAACCACUCCACUGCCCCUUGUGCCCCCUACUGCUGGUCAGGUGUAUUUAUUUGAAUGAUAGGUAUGAAAAUAUUGUUUUAAUGUGAUUUUUAAAGUUAGGGGAAAAUGCAUUGAGUAGUACCACUUUUUAGCAUGUCAAUAUAAAUGUAUGUAUUUAUGGUUGUUCGUAAUUUUGUCUUGCCUUUUCAUCAUUAUAUGUGUUAUUGUUUUACUAUCGAGGACCACUUUGGAAACAAGUGUUUUAAUUAAUACUUUCAAGUGAUAUCCUCUCAGUCCACAUUGUACAUUUUGUUGUAUAUGUCUGUUACCCAAAAUUAAUUAAAUUCGAUGGAUAUUCUACUAUA